rnacentral:rRNA from 1 species
UACGUAGGGUGCGAGCGUUAAUCGGAAUUACUGGGCGUAAAGCGCACGUAGGCGGUUUUGCAAGACAGAUGUGAAAUCCCCGGGCUCAACCUGGGAACUGCAUUUGUGACUGCAAGGCUAGAGUACGGCAGAGGGGGAUGGAAUUCCGCGUGUAGCAGUGAAAUGCGUAGAUAUGCGGAGGAACACCAAUGGCGAAGGCAAUCCCCUGGGCCUGUACUGACGCUCAUGCACGAAAGCGUGGGGAGCAAACAGG